CCCCCUCAUCCAGCAGACAGGACACCCACCAGUCCCCUGUACCCCACCAUGUCCCCUCAUCCAGCAGGCAGGACACCCACCAGUCCCCUGUACCCCACCAUGUCCCCUCAUCCAGCAGACAGGACACCCACCAGUCCCCUGUACCCCACCAUGUCCCCUCAUCCAGCAGACAGGACACCCACCAUUCCCCUGUACCCCACCAUGUCCCCUCAUCCAGCAGGCAGGACACCCACCAGUCCCCUGUACCCCACCAUGUUCUCUCAUCCAGCAGACAGGACACCCACCA
ensembl:lncRNA